GGGUUGUGAGGUUAAGCGACUAAGCGUACACGGUGGAUGCCCUGGCAGUCAGAGGCGAUGAAGGACGUGCUAAUCUGCGAUAAGCGUCGGUAAGGUGAUAUGAACCGUUAUAACCGGCGAUUUCCGAAUGGGGAAACCCAGUGUGUUUCGACACACUAUCAUUAACUGAAUCCAUAGGUUAAUGAGGCGAACCGGGGGAACUGAAACAUCUAAGUACCCCGAGGAAAAGAAAUCAACCGAGAUUCCCCCAGUAGCGGCGAGCGAACGGGGAGCAGCCCAGAGCCUGAAUCAGUGUGUGUGUUAGUGGAAGCGUCUGGAAAGGCGUGCGAUACAGGGUGACAGCCCCGUACACAAAAAUGCACAUGCUGUGAGCUCGAUGAGUAGGGCGGGACACGUGGUAUCCUGUCUGAAUAUGGGGGGACCAUCCUCCAAGGCUAAAUACUCCUGACUGACCGAUAGUGAACCAGUACCGUGAGGGAAAGGCGAAAAAGAACCCCGGCGAGGGGAGUGAAAAAGAACCUGAAACCGUGUACGUACAAGCAGUGGGAGCCUCUUUUAUGGGGUGACUGCGUACCUUUUGUAUAAUGGGUCAGCGACUUAUAUUCUGUAGCAAGGUUAACCGAAUAGGGGAGCCGAAGGGAAACCGAGUCUUAACUGGGCGUUAAGUUGCAGGGUAUAGACCCGAAACCCGGUGAUCUAGCCAUGGGCAGGUUGAAGGUUGGGUAACACUAACUGGAGGACCGAACCGACUAAUGUUG
rnacentral:rRNA from 1 species